GAACAAAACCCCCCGGAUUAGAUUAAUGCAGCUUUACCUAAAAUAGAGAUAUAAAAAAAGAGAAAAUUUAAGAGAAUUAUUACAAAACUAAGCAGCAGAACAUAUAUCCAUCUAUUCCCUUAUACACAAAUCCAAAAGAAAAAAAAAACACACAAGGCUUUCAUGGCUAAGGAAAAGAAACUCUCAACAUCACCCUGUACAUGACAAGAAUGGCCUUAUCCUUUAAAUGGCCAUUUAAUUUCAGCUGCAUUUAUAGAGCACAAACAAAAUCACUACUUGUCUCUAUGUCAUCUAUGUCAGAAUCAUCUAUAUCCAUGCUCCCUCCAAUUAAAAGACCACCCAUUUUGGGACCCUCUCCAGAUUUCCUGGCCUCUUGAAUUAUAGCUAAUAUUUCUUCAAUGCUUUGGGAUUCUUCACAUUUAUCAUUAUCUUGCAAGCUACCUUCCCCUCCUUCCAUGAAUUCUACAGGCAAGUUCUUCAGGAACCAUGGGUGCUUUUUAAUUUCUGGUAUUGUUAUUCUCUUUUCAGGGCUAGCGACAAAAAUCCUAGAUAGAAGAUGUUUACAAUCUGUGGAAACUCUAACAUAGUCUGGAAUGGAGUAGUGGACACUGAGAAUCCUCUGAAUGGUUUUUCUGAAGUUUCUUGGAUCUUUAGAAUCUUCAAAUGGAUAAGCACCAACCAGCAUCACAUACAAUGUAACCCCACAAGACCAAACAUCUGCUAUCUUGCCAUCAUAUUCUUUUUUUGACAAGACCUCUGGUGCAAUGUAGGCUGGUGUUCCCACAGUAGACUUGGGUUGAGAAUGCAAUACAGAAGACUACAUAGAAAUAGGAAAACUGUCAGGAUUUAGAUUUAUACACGUAAUUAAUGUAAAUUUCAUAUUGAAAAAUUUACAAGUUCAUUGCCUUGGAAUAGCCAAAGUCACAUAUCUUAAGACGCGGAGCUGAGCUUCCAUCUAGAAGGGUGUUUUCCAGCUUAAGAUCUCUAUGGCAAAUUUGCAUAGAAUGGCAAUAGUUAACUCCUGAUACAAGUUGUUGAAAGAAAAAUCUUGCCUGAUACAAAUUUACAGAAGCAGACAAGGAAAAAAGAUAAAUUUAAGCACCACCAAAACAAGUGAAGAACAAAAAUUAUAUGAUCCAGGUAAAUAUACCUCAUCUUCACUGAAUCUACCAGCACUGCAUAUUCUCUCAAAAAGUUCUCCUCCAGCUGCAUAUUCCAUGACUAUGGCUAAAUGAGUGGGUGUGAGAAAGACCUCUUUGAAUCUAAUUAUGUUGGGGUGCUUCAACGACCUAUGGUUCAUGAUCUCUCUCUGCACAUGU
rnacentral:misc_RNA from 1 species